rnacentral:rRNA from 1 species
UACAGAGGUGGCAAGCGUUGUUCGGAAUUACUGGGCGUAAAGGGCGCGUAGGCGGCCAUCUAAGUCAGACGUGAAAUCCCCCGGCUUAACCUGGGAACUGCGUCUGAUACUGGAAGGCUUGAGUAUGGGAGAGGGAUGUAGAAUUCCAGGUGUAGCGGUGAAAUGCGUAGAUAUCUGGAGGAAUACCGGUGGCGAAGGCGGCAUCCUGGACCAUUACUGACGCUGAGGAGCGAAAGCCAGGGGAGCAAACGGG